GGGCUAGGUAGGAGGUAGGAGCGAGUCCGAAUGGCGAGAGGAAGGACGUAGGAUGCCGACGAAGGAGAGGGAGGAAAGACAAAACCAACAGGAGGGGGAAAGCCUCGUACUCAACGCUGUCCUGAUGAGGCAGGAGGAUGGCCGUCUCGUAACGGUUUGAAUCAUAUUAUUUAAAGAGAAAUUUAAAGAGAAAAUUUAAAGAGAAAAAACGAGAUAAAAAGAAAUCUACUCUUAAGGAAACGAAUACACUCGUAGGUAUACUCGUAGGUAUACUCCAAAUACACUGGGACGUAUCUUAUACUAUUUUCAGACUGUUCAUUGGAAAUCUAACGAACGGAAGAGACAAAGGAAAUGCUAAAUACAAUUGAAUAAUAAUACAAUUUAUAAUAAAUUACAAUUUAAUUUCAACAACUGACACGGAAAAUAAAUUUAUUCUUACGUUAACGUUCUAUCUUUCGCCUAUGUUCCAUCCAUAGCUCAUCCGCUUAUCAUUUUUAUUUCGCUCUAACUGCAGCCAAUUAUUUUUUAGAAUAUUUUUACAUUUUAGAUCAUCUAUACAACAGUAAGGAAAUUUUUAAUAGUCCUACAUUAUAAAAAGUAUAUUAAAAAAUUAGCUUCAAACGCUUAUUAAUACAUAUACCGUACAUGCAUACACGUACAUACAUACAUGUAUAUCUCACUUACUCUUCUAUUUCUGGUUUUUAAUUUUAUCCGUUAAUUAAUGCAAGAAUCCUGAAAUUAAAUAGCUAUAGAAUUAAUAUUUAUGAUUGUUUAUCAAACAAAUUGAAUCGAUUAGAAAACAAUCUAUAUCAUUAUCUUAUACGUUUAAACGUUACAAACAUUUAAAACUGUAUUUUACGUUAAAGUUAUUCCUCUUAUUGCAGCGGAGAGAUUAAUGUAAAAAGUAGCGUAAAACAUGGUUCGCGUGAUCGUAUACGCCCAUGAGAGAAGAAGAAAUAUUUAAAUCGUCGUCACCGAGUACACCGCAAAAUUACAUAAUAUGUAAUUCCUUUUACAAUUGAGGCCAAUCACAUUGCGUAAAAGAAUCUCGUCAUUUACUCCGCUCUAACUGCUUCUGAGCGCGCGAUUUAUCUAGAUUUCCAAAGAUACAGAUGAAGAUUUAAACAAAAGAUAUCAAGAUAUAAUAAAGUGAACGAUCUUAAUAACGAUAUUUAAUAUCAGUAUCGAUGAUUCAGUUCUGUGAUUUAAUUAAUUUUCAUCUUGUACGAAUAUAGCAAAAAAUUAUACAUGUAUAUAUAUAUAUAUAUAUAUAUAUAUAUAUAUAUAUAUAUAUAUAUAUAUAUAUAUACACAUAAAAUAAUAAUAUAUGAA